rnacentral:lncRNA from 1 species
UAAGAUUUAACCAAAAGAAGCAUAAAGAUGUCACAUACUACAAUCAUCAUAGAUCUAUACUACAAUAUUUCUAGUUCUAUCCACUUACACUCAUCCUAUAUUUGAUUCUAUAUGCUAUAGUUUAUCCACUAAUGCUCUAAUACCACUUUAAUUGUCACACCUUCGAGUCGAGAUUGUGAGUCGAAGGUCAUGACAACUUCCACAUACUCAU